GGAGCCGUUGGUGGAGGGACCCUGGCUGCAGCGACGGUUGCGGCUGCGGCUGCUGCGGUGGCCGAAGUGAGGACGCCGCUUUGGGACGUCCCCUGUUGGCUGCAUCGAAAGCCCGCGAGCCCGAGGAUUGGCAGGUCGCGCCCCGGACACUCGUGUCGUGAGCAGGUCUCACCUCAAAGCCCGAUGCCGGAUCAUGAAAUCAACAGUAGCAACCAGUGGAACCAUCCGUUAGAAAUCUCUGAUGAUACUACCUACUAUUGGUUAUUUCACAGCACCUCCAUUUUCAAAGUGUCUUCCUGGACUAAACGUGGAAAACACUGUGACUCACAAAGAGUUCAAAGGGAUGUUGGAUACAGAAUAAGAAAUUUUGGGAGAUCAAAAUUCAGGAGUUCAGUUCCAGCCUGGAAAACAAGAUGAGGGAACUUUCCAGCCUGCACCAAUGUUCACAUUUCUGAUUGACUUACAAGAUUUUCCUUCUUUUGAUCUCAGAAGUCAUUUGGAAACUUGUGGGGGAAAUUUCAGCAUAUCUUUUAAGUUUUGUUUAUGGUAAGCAGGGGAGAUACAUCAGAACCUAGAGAAGUGUCUCAGCCUCCAGACUCAGUAGCCUUGCCAUCAACCCACCACUAGGUUUUCCUAUCCAGGCUUUGGGGUCACAUUUCAUUGUCAGUGUGAUUCAUGUUCACGGUUUACCAUCACAGCUAGCCAUAGUUUUAGUGGCUAGUCUUAAACUCUUUGCUGAGGGGUGUGUGUGUGUGUGUGUGUGGUUUUUUGGUUGGUUGGUUGGUUGGUUGGGGCUGUUGUUUUGGUUUUUGGCAGAAUUUUUCACAUUUUUAUGGUAGGAAAGUUUACAUUAGCAUUAAGAAAUGCUUUCCUAGUUUGCUAUUGCCCAGUAGCUGCUUCUCAGCACUGCCGGCUUUCAUGGAAUUUUCGGUAUUGUUUUUAUUUUGUGUCUUGAUCUUUGCACAUGAACCAUGCCAUUAUUAGUUUCUGCUGGAAAUACUUACAUGUGUGGCAUGUGUACCUGCUCAUGUGUGUAUGUCUGCACAGAUGUGCACAUGGGUGUGGAGGACAGAGAUUGACCUUGGGCAUUUCCAUUCAUCAGUUCUUCAGCUUAUGCUUUGGAGCAAGGUCUCUCACUGAACCUGUAAUCAUCAGCUCAGAUAGGCUGGCUGGCCAGUGAGACUCACUGAUCUGCCUGUCUCCUCCCUCUCAGUACUGGGGCUGUUGUCAUAGCAGCGGAACACUUCACUGGCUGAGUCAUCUCUCUAACCCUUCUGGAAACAAUUUUUCCAGAAUUCCUACUCAGGGCUUUCAUCUUCGUCGUCUACUUUAUCUUCAUGCAUAUCAGUUCCUGCUGUGCCUUCACAAGCAUUUGUAUCCGCAUCUCUUGUCUUCUUCAUGGUCUUUUCAGUCCUACUUUUCAUUGGUGUCAUUUGAGCGGGGGCGCUCUUAAACCAUCAUGUGGGGGAAGCUGCUCCUCCAUGAUCCCCAUGGGUCUAUCCUCUUGAGAAUGUCUUUUAUGAAGGCAAACUGCAGUUCCUGUCACUCAGUGGGCUUCGGGCUGCAAGUGCUGCUCAUCAUUCUACUCCAUUGUCCGUCAGAUUCGAUUUCCCUUUAGUUGUGCUUUGAAUAAGCCUAAGGGCUUACCUCAUAUGACCCAGAUCCUUAUUCCCAUGGAAAAUGUGUGCUGGUAACUAUUUACAUCUCAUUCUGGAAUUGCUGCACCUGUCCUCCCACAGUUACAAUUUGGAAUCAAAAUGUUCCCAAAUUGAUCACCUAUGUGUUUUUCUCUGCCUUGUAGCAUUUUGAUUUCUUUUUGAUCUUGCUCAGUUACCACUGCCAAGAUAGGAAAUCCUUGCCUGCUCAUAACUGUUCCCAGAGUUCAAAAUGGCCAAACAGUAGCCAUAACUUAUGGUCUAAUGGGACUCUUGUUGUUGUUCCCUACAGAAAUUCACCCAUUUGGAAGCCUUCAGAGUAAAGGGUUAUAGGAACAGGAAGCAGUGUCCCCUAACAAGUCAGUGGGGUCACUUCUGCUUCCUCUGCUUUGUUCUUCUUAGUAGGAACAAUACCUUAUAGGUCUCUCUGUGUUAGUGUACGUACUGUUUCUUGAAGGAUGGCGCUUAAUCCUUAUGAAAUCCUGCUUCUGAGCUGUCACUUCAGCUAAACCAUUAUUACAUUGGAAACGAAUGUUAGGGUCGAGAUGAAUUUUAGGAUUGAACAACAAGGUCAGGAACACUGAGGAAGGUAAAUAAGGAGGUUUGCAACUGGGUAUAAAAUAGCCAAGUUGCCCAGAGAAGAGAAAGUGCAGAACUCUGGGAAGAACAAAACCUGGCUCUAGAUGUUUCAACUGGCCCCGGGAGCCCCACCUCCACCCUUGAAGGAGCAUGUGCGAGACAUCAUUGCCCUUUCCUUAGUAAACAUCUACACUUUAUAGGUAGUUACACUGUCAUAGAUAAGCAUGCAUCUAAUUGUAACAGACUGAAUUGUGGGUAAUGGCUUCUAGGAAAGCUACUUGUUUUAGAAAGGACACCUUCUCAUACUCUGCCAAGGAUGGACAAGGGAAGGAAAACUGGUGGACAAAGUCCAGAUGCUGUAGGUAUCCCUUUGCCACUGACACGUGGCUCAGACCACACUCCCCUCUUUGCCUUCUCACCUGCUGAAGUAAACCCUGGCAGCUUGUUCACUCUACCUGAGCUCUAAUGUCAAUCUCUUUCCUUGAGGAACACAAGCACUGAGCCUGCUGCUGCACUUGACAUUGGAGGGAAUGUGGGAGGAGACAUCUCUCCUCAUCCCUAACACCGUCAGUGGGUUGCCUGGUGUUCUAUCAGACUGGAUGGCCCUGUUGAUUCUCUUGUCAGGAGUUCACAUAUUAUCUUGUUUGGAUGCUCAAUUAAAUUAGAUCUUUAAGGCCCUGGGUAGCAAUAAUAUAGGCUAAGGCCCUGCAAGGCAGAGCAGCAAAUCCACACCCAGAAUAAGUCCUCAUCGCCGUCAGGAUGGACCACUAGCCACUCUAAAAUUGGAAAAGUCCAUGUUAUUGACCUGCUAUCAGGGUCUGAUUGGUCUCAAGUGAUACUACCAUAUUGGGCACACAGUGUAGUUCUGUCGCGUGCAGGUUCUUCAGAGAAAGAUAGGUAUGGGUUGGCUUUUGUAACUGGGAAUUUGCUGUGGCUCGUGUGUAGCCUCGUGUGAAAACAUGGCUGGCUGCUCAUGUGUUGUUGUAGUUCUAGACAGUUCUAGAGGAGGCCAUGACAAAAACUUGCCUAACACCAACUGAUAGAAUCCUUUGUUCAAUUUUUCUGUUUCUCUUCACGAUGAAUGUUCUAGUCAGAGUGAAUUAUGUCAUUAGCCACUAAGCAACACAGGCACCUCUAGGCACAAAAUCCUAAAGUGAGUGCACCUUUGGGGCAUCCUUUGUUUUCUUGCCACUGAAAUUUUAUGGCAUAAGCAGGGCAUUCCUUGAGGCAUGGCAGUUGAUCAGUUUGAGCUCACCAUGCUUCAGAAUGUGUCUACUGUAUCUUCUUUGUAAAUUGUGAGAUUUCACUGAGCUUGCUCAGGAAUGUACUCCUUAACUGAGCAUGCCUAGUAUUGGACCACCCCUGACAUGAGUUUGUAUAGGCUCUCUGAAUAAAAUUCCCAUGCUGUCUCUGUUGGAAGAGCUCUGUUUGGGAAGAACACCUGUGCUCUCUCUUGUCCAUUGCAAGUAAUCUUUCUCUACUCCUUUUUUAUAUAUUGACUAUGCUUAUUUUGGCUUGCACUUAACAAUGUAUGAACCCAUUAUAUUGGAUUACAAUAUAAUAAAAAAAAGUCUU